rnacentral:lncRNA from 1 species
GGAAAAAUCUGGGGGAAUGCUUCUAGACAGCGGCCCUUGCAUGGUAUAGGUGGACUCGGCACCCUGGAGACAGAGGGAGCAGGUGAGGGAGGGGACCAGCCAGAGAACUUCCCCACAGGAUGUCCUGUGAUCUCUGUGAUGACUGUCAGCACAUAGUUCACUGGUGCUCCAAAGCAGAGCAUGGGUUGCCUUCUGCAGACUGGCUGUCUCCUCUAUCCUUAUCCUCAUCCUGUUAUCUUCUGCCUGGGUCUACGGGAUCCUAGCACCUGGAAGGCAUCAUAGCACCUUUGAAAGCAGCUCCCUGAGACUAAUGAUCUCUCACACAACCUUCCCUCACCGUCUUCCCCUUUUCACCUUCAGGAGGCCUGGCCUGCUCCCUCAGUCCAGGAGAGAAAGACAGACUCAGAGAGAGGACAGGAUGCACACUGAGCUCAUACCCAUAGAGGGGAAAGAGAUGCACAAAUGACUCUGGAUCUUUCUCCUACCCAUAGGAUCUCCAAAGGAGAAAACACACCUGGUCAAAGGGGAGAGUGUGACACAGGUUUAGAAGGUAGAAGGACAAGACAGGCAUGUUCCAGUUUGGGCAGGUCAGAGAAUUACUCUCACACCAGGAUAUGAGGGGAGACACACUCCUGCUGGUGAGGGGAAGAGAAACAGUGACUGUGCUAACUAAACAUUGACUGGGGAGAGACUCAUCCCAGAAGGGCCUGUACACAUGAAAAAUCCAGAUGUGGGAAAGAGACACCCCGAGAGUGGGAGGAAAGAAACAGACAUGCCCUCAGUAGGAGAGAGACUCCCAGAGAGAAAGAGGGACCCAAACACAUCAGUGUGAUGGGGCCCAGGAGAUGGACAUACACAGACCCAGAGGGGAAGAGGGAAGUGUGCACACACAUGCAAGGAAGCUGGGGGGACUACACGUACCCCAAGGUGGAAAGCAAGUCAACAGAUAAGAGCAGUUCAGAAGGGAGUUGGCAUGUGCGCACGUGCACACACACACACACACACAUACAUAG